UCCGAAUUGGUGUAGUGGCUAACAUUUGACGCUCUCAUCCCGCAUCGCAUACACAACAGUCUGUGAUGUAGUGCAGUGCCGUCAAGCCCGGGGUUCGAUUCCCCGAUUCGGAG